rnacentral:rRNA from 1 species
GACGAACGCUGGCGGCGUGCCUAAUACAUGCAAGUAGGACGCAGUUGCGAAAGGGUGAGUAACGCGUAGGUAACCGUCCACAUGAGGGGGAUAACUAUUGGAAACGAUAGUUAUUAUCGCAUACUAGCAGCUGGACUUGCGUUGUAUUAGUUAGUAGGUAGGGUAAUGGCCUAACUAGGCGAAGUUACAUAGCCGACCUGAGCGGGUGGUCGGCCAAACUGGGACUGGGGCACGGCCCAUACUCCUACGGGCGGGAGCAGUAAGGAAUCUUCAGGAAUGGGUGGAACCGUGGCCGGGCAACGCCGCGUGAGUGGAGAAGGUUUUCGGAUCAUAAAGCUCUGUUGUUAAGGAAGCGGUACUUAACCAGAAAGGGACGGCUAACUACGUGCCAGCAGCCGCGGUAAUUC